CGCCUCUUGCUAAAAAACAUGUAUAAGAGGUCCAGCCUGCCCAGUGACUAUAUGUUCAACGGCCGCGGUAUUCUGACCGUGCAAAGGUAGCGUAAUCACUUGUCUUUUAAAUAAAGACUGGUAUGAACGGCACCACGAAGGUUCAACUGUCUCCUGCAUCCAAUCCAUUAAACUGACCUCCCCGUGCAGAGGCGGGGAUACAACCAUAAGACGAGAAGACCCUAUGGAGCUUUAAACUAAAGGCAACUGCCAACUUCAACCUAACCCAUAAGGAAAUAACAAUUAAACAAGCAGAAACUGACCUAAAGUUUUCGGUUGGGGCGACCACGGAGAAUAAAAAAUCCUCCUUGAAGAAUAGGGCCUACCACCCUUAACCAAGAACCACCAUUCUAAGUAACAAAAUUUAUGACUAUAAUUGAUCCAGUCCUACUGAUCAACGAACCAAGUUACCCUAGGGAUAACAGCGCAAUCCAUUUCAAAAGUUCCUAUCGACAAAUGGGUUUACGACCUCGAUGUUGGAUCAGGGCAUCCCAGUGGUGCAGCCGCUACUAAAGGUUCGUUUGUUCAACGAUUAAAGCCCUA
rnacentral:rRNA from 1 species